AGCGAACGCUGGCGGCAAGCCUAACACAUGCAAGUCGAACGAACUCUUCGGAGUUAGUGGCGGACGGGUGAGUAACACGUGGGAACGUGCCUUUUGGUUCGGAAUAACUCAGGGAAACUUGUGCUAAUACCGAAUGUGCCCUUCGGGGGAAAGAUUUAUCGCCAUUAGAGCGGCCCGCGUCUGAUUAGCUAGUUGGUGAGGUAACGGCUCACCAAGGCGACGAUCAGUAGCUGGUCUGAGAGGAUGACCAGCCACACUGGGACUGAGACACGGCCCAGACUCCUACGGGAGGCAGCAGUGGGGAAUCUUGCGCAGUGGGCGAAAGCCUGACGCAGCCAUGCCGCGUGAAUGAUGAAGGUCUUAGGAUUGUAAAAUUCUUUCACCGGGGACGAUAAUGACGGUACCCGGAGAAGAAGCCCCGGCUAACUUCGUG
rnacentral:rRNA from 1 species